GGUGGGGUAAAUCCAGUUCGAGAAGUAAAAGACUUGAAAAAGAAAUGCACAAGCAACUUUUUGAGUCCGGAAAAACAGAAUUCCAAGUCAAAUUCUGUUCCAAUUAUCCUGGCCAUCGUGGGAUUGAUGCUGGUCACAGUCGUAGCAGGAGUGCUCAUUGUGAAGAAAUAUGUCUGUGGGGGAAGGACCUCUUGGAAUAGCUCUUCAGAGGAGCUGGACCCAGCAUGGAUGGUGGAACCACAGUACCUCUUACACUCCCUGUGGCUCCAGCUUCGGGAAAUAAAUUUCCCAUUGCGAGGGACCCAGCUCUGUUUCUGCUGCUUCCAUCAAAGCCAAAAGGACCUACACUAAAGAAAUGCAGGGUUUGGGUGGGGAACCCUGAGUACUUUUUUACAAUUGGCUCUGAGAAAAAGGGAGACAUUUUAAAUUCUUUAACUUCUUA
rnacentral:sRNA from 1 species